GAAUUAAUGACCGAAUUAAUGAGCACAUUUCCAACGGGUCACCUAGCAGCGGUAGCUGGACUCAUAUGAGACUGGUAAUGCCACUGUCAUCAAAUAUGAGGAGAAACCUCCAAAACCAGCAUUUCAGAAUGGUUCCUCAGGAUCCUUUUAUUUGAAGCCUUUGGUAUCCAGGGCUCAUGUUCACUUGCUGAAAACUCCUCCAAAAGGUCCUUCGAGAAAAAAUUUAUUUACAGCUCUUAAUGCAGUUGAAAAGAGCAGGCAAAAGAAUCCUCGAAGCUUAUGUAUCCAGACACAGACAGCUCCCGAUGUGCUGCCCCCUGAGAAAACACUUGAAUUGACGCAAUAUAAAACAAAAUGUGAAAACCAAAGUGGAUUUAUCCUGCAGCUCAAGCAGCUUCUUGCCUGUGGUAAUACCAAGUUUGAGGCAUUGACAGUUGUGAUUCAGCACCUGCUGUCUGAGCGGGAGGAAGCGCUGAAACAACACAAAACCCUAUCUCAAGAACUUGUUAACCUCCGGGGAGAGCUAGUCACUGCUUCAACCACCUGUGAGAAAUUAGAAGAAGCCAG
rnacentral:sRNA from 1 species